UACAGAGGGGGCAAGGCGUUAUUCGGAAUUAUUGGGCGUAAAGGGCGCGUAGGCGGCUUGGCAAGUGGAAGGUGAAAUCCCUCGGCUUAACCGAGGAACUGCCCUCCAAACUGCUUGGCUUGAGACCGGGAGAGGUGAGUGGAAUUCCCAGUGUAGCGGUGAAAUGCGUAGAUAUUGGGAGGAACACCAGUGGCGAAGGCGGCUCACUGGACCGGUACUGACGCUGAUGCGCGAAAGCGUGGGGAGCAAACGGG
rnacentral:rRNA from 1 species